GUGUUUUAUGAAAGUGAAGAAUUAGGUUAGCACUCCCCUGCCAAGAGUGGAAAAAAAUUCUGGUGACUUGUACCACACACAUGCAUGUAAGAUAUCACCAUGUCUUUAGAGCACCGAACAAUAAUUUUA